AUGAAGUUAUUUAUUUGUUGGAUUCUCUAAGGCACCGCAUUCAUGAUGAGGAUUGGAAAUAUAUAGUGGAAAUGUAGUUCAUAUUUCUUUUUUAUUAAGCAUUUAUGUUAAUACAAAACUCAUAUAUAAAAGAAUCAUUAACGUAUGAAGGGCCUUAAGAUUGUUUAAUUCAAACAAGGGAAGGAAAGGUAGAAAAAAGGCUAUGUGGGUAAUAGUAAAGGCUCCUCGACAACAAGAUGCCAAACAAUGUGGUUACUAUGUGAUGCGAUUUAUGAGACAAAUUGUUGAAGAAGUUGAAAUUAUCGAAAGAGAUUCACUACGAUCUAUAUUCACACAAGCAGAGUAUUCUCAAGAAGAAAUUGAUG